rnacentral:rRNA from 1 species
AUUGAACGCUGGCGGCAGGCCUAACACAUGCAAGUCGAACGGUAACAGGAAGACGCUUGCUUCUUUGCUGACGAGUGGCGGACGGGUGAGUAAUGUCUGGGAAACUGCCGGAUGGAGGGGGAUAACUACUGGAAACGGUAGCUAAUACCGCAUAACGUCGCAAGACCAAAGAGGGGGACCUUCGGGCCCCUUGCCAUCGGAUAUGCCCAGAUGGGAUUAGCUAGUAGGUGGGGUAACGGCACACCUAGGCGACGCUCCCUAGCUGGUCUGAGAGGAUGACCAGCCACACUGGAACUGAGACACGGUCCAGACUCCUACGGGAGGCAGCAGUGGGGAAUAUUGCACGAUGGGCGAAAGCCUGAUGCAGCCAUGCCGCGUGUAUGAAGAAGGCCUUCGGGUUGUAAAGUACUUUCAGCGGGGAGGAAGGGAGUAAAGUUAAUACCUUUGCUCAUUGACGUUACCCGCAGAAGAAGCACCGGCUAACUCCGUG